rnacentral:tRNA from 1 species
GUUUAUAUAGUUUAACUUAAAACUCUUCAUUUUCAAUGAAAAAAUGAGUAAUUACUCUAUAAAUA